CUCCAGCUAGUUUCCAAGGUGACAGUGAGCAUCAUUGUUCUAGCUUGGUGAAAGACGUCAGCUGGAAAAAAUAUUCACAAGCUGCUGAUGACCCGUCCCACCCCAAGCCUGAUGGUUAAGGAGAGGAUGAUUCUGAGAAGCAGAGGGGCCACCACCGUGAGAUUCUGUAGUGGAUUCAACUCUACACACCACAAAUAAAGUGGCCCCGCAGCAUCUGCUGCAUGGAGCACGCACAGAAUGACGCAUGAGGGUUUGCAUGGUCAGAACACAGCUUCAACUGCCUUUUGCAAGGUCAGAUGCCGCCUUUUUUAUCUCGUCAAUAUAAAUUCCUGAAAUGCAUUGCUUUGUAGUCUCUCUUCUGUCUUGUUUCCAUAAUCUAGACUAGUCACUGACUUCUGACUUCAAGUACUGCCUGUCCAUUAUGCCCCACUUCUCACUUUGCUAUCUCUAGAUUCAAUCCCGUUAUACUUCAGGCAAAUUCAAUUUAUCUUCUGCAUUUCUAUUGCAACCGAUAGAUACAUCUGUCACAAUAUACAUUCUGUGUAACUGACAGAGAAUUAGACUUAAAACGCCAUGAAGGCAAAGAAAAUCACUGUUCACUUUUAAACUCCAGCUUCCUGAAAAGGCCCCAGUACAAAUAUCCAGUUGGUUAUUUUAAAUUGAAUGAUAUGUACUCAGAUCAGAAUUGAGCAGGAGAAAAGCAAUAUGUUUUCAGAAUCUCAGGAAUGGAGUUGAAAUGCUAGGUUUGUAUUUAAAAUCUAAAUUCAACAAGUAUACACUUUAUCUAGAGAGAACGCUAUAAUGGAUGCUAAGGAAGCCAUAUAAAUUCAUUCAGUGAAUAUCUGUUUAGCAUUGACUUCAUGUUAUCAUUUCUCUAAACAUUGCAGAAACAUCACUGAAAAUUUUAAUCUCUGACAUAAAUUGACUAUAUGACCUAAGCCCUCACUAAUCAUCUUCUUUCCUACUGUGUCUUAAUUAAUCAGAACUACAGUUAAGAGCACAGGAGAAGACUCCUUCGACCCAUUCAUUUCUCCAUAGUUGAUGGAAUGCUUCUCAGACUCUAUUUCUGAGAGCAGAGUCUAAUUCAUGGGGUUAGAGGAAGAACUAGCAGUAAUACUUUCAAAGAAGCCUGCAUACCUCGAAGCAGGGAUAAUUAAGCAUAGAGAAAGAAGCAUACUGCAAGUCUUUCUGUAUCUUGCUAUAGCAGCUGUCUAAACACGGAGUUUGGUUCUAAGUUUGCCUAAUUGAUGAAAAAACAAGGAUCCCUGGAUAGUAGCAAAGGCACUUUGAAGGCACAAAUCCUUGUUUAUGCUCCAUAGGAUAUUUUAUUAGAUCCUUUUGUGUUUCUCACAACACUUAAGAGAGUGUUUCAUGCAGAGGUUAAAUAUAUAUAGACCCAGUGAAUUGAUGAAUAAAUUGCUUUUAUUUUACAAGAUAAUUGGAAGUGUAAGUUCACUUGUCUAUCUUAUUAGCCAUGAAAGAAAUUGCAGGCUUUCUUGAAAUGCUAUUGUUAAACUUGAGUUCCACCAACUUACAUAAGACUUUUUAAAUUCAAGGAAAGUAGACUUCACAUAAACUACCUUUUAACUAAGUAGGAUGGCUACCAUUUAAGCACUACGGCUCUGGUUUUUUUUCCACAUGUAUUUUAUUAAUCAUUCUAAACACAUUUGUUUCAUUCCACAGAAAUGAGCAGCUCACCUUCCACCUUUGAGAAAUUACUGUUAAUCAUUCUUGAAUGAUUCCAUUUAAAGCAUUCCCCUGUGGUUUUACAAUCCCUUCUGCCCACUAAUCUGGGAAGAACGAUGUGCAAAAAGGAAAUACAGAGAAGCAAAUAGCUGUUCUCGUGAAUCGUCAUUAUAAGCCUCGUCAGCAACAGCAGAGUUUCUCAACUGUUCUUUAAGAGUCCGAUAAAUCUGUAAACAGAGAAUCCACAACAGUGGGCUUGAAAUCCAUCCAAGUGAUGAUAAAUGCAUGCUAUGGGAUAGAAGAUGCUUUUAUAUCCAUGAUUCAUGCUUUAUUCCUGCAUCCUACCCAUCCUGACUGAUAGAACAACAUGAUUAAAACUUGAUAAUGACAAAAGAAUGAUAGGUAAUAUGUCAGACAAGAAAUGGGAAGUGAAUAUGCAUAUAAUUUCUUAGGACCUAUAUACGGCUUUCUGGCUAGUCAAAUUUACUCAGCUAAUUAAAGAUAUCAUAUCUUGUGAGUAAAUGCAUUGAUGAAUACUGUUAAGUACUGUAUUUGAUAUAGACUCCAAUCACAUUUCUGAGUAUUUCUUAGAUAUCUGGAAGCUUGGGGUUAUAUAAGUAAAAUAGUCAAGUGUUUUAUCACAGUUCAUCAUCAUCCUGUUGGUGCAUCAUUCUUUGCAUAUAAUAUCUGUCUGUGUGAAUUGGGCAAGUACUUCCUAUGACAUCCAGGGAACAUACAUCCGUAAUACAAGGUGUCCAUGAUCAUGCUUCUUCUUUUUAUAAGCAAGUGCUAAAAUUUACGUGAUUAAAGGCAGAUUAAUUGCUGUUGAAGACAACACUUAUGUAUCUCAUUGAGCAAUGAGAAGUUGAGCUGGUGCCUAACUAGAGCCUUCACCCCUGCUGACUAGUGUUCAUGGCAGAGGAAGGUAUUGUUCACACUACCAGAGAAGAAACAAACACCGAUCCAGCUACAAACCCUUUGAUCUACAAUGGUGACCUGUCUUCAGGACACACUGGCUUAACAGUGGCACAAAUGUUGUAAGAGUAACAAACCACUAUCUGUUGGAAUAAGGGCUCACUCCAUGAGAUGGAUGGAACCCAUGCCUGACACUGCUGGAGUGACCAAGAACCUGAGACCAGACAGACCUACUAGAAGAAAAUCCUUAGAAGAAUUGUUCUGCUAACAGAACAGCACUAUUGGAAUCCUGAUGACAGUCUGCUGUAUGCAGAGGUCUAUUUUGAAUACCUGAUUAAAAGUCACUAAUUACAUAAAAACAUAGAAAAUCUAAGGAAAGACUUCUGAUUUGUCAACAGUUACACUCAUGAAGAGUUACAUGAAGAAGGAGGAUAUAUGAAUGGAAUACAUGAUACAGCUAUCCACUUCAUUGAUCUCCCCAACUUGGCUGAUACAGCAUGAGAAAUAAGUGUGCAGUAGGGCUACUGGAGGGAGCUCAUUGCAUUCCACAUGUUUAUGCAUGAGAAUUGUUUAUACACUGUGCUUGCCAAUUAAAAUAUAUGAACAACUAAAUUAAAAUUUAAGAGACGAUGCAAAAAGGCAGAAAACUUGCAGAAAGUUGCUUGACGUACACCAACACAAGUAGCCAAAUAUCCACAAUAUAACUAGUAAUAAUUUUCCAAAACAAAAGCCAGGAACAUCACAACUAGAAUAAGAAAAGAGAAUAGCUACCACCAUUGACAGAUUGAAAUUUUCUAACGAAUAUUUCAUCAUACUCAUUAAAAUAGUUAUCAGCACCCUUGAAACAAAGAAAAAAGUAUAAAAAUCUAAAUAAAGCAUAAAUUAUAGAAUUAACAAAUACAUUAGUUAAAAUAAAAGUUCUCUAGAGAAACUUGACAGGGGAAUAGAUAUGACAAAGAAAAAAGUCAACAAAUUUGAAGAGAAAACAACAAAUUGUUCAAUAACUAAGUAAGAUAAAACACACAAAUGUAGCCAGGGCUUCUGAAAUUUGUACACCAAUAAGGAAAGAUUGAAUGUUUAUGUCAGCACAUUCUCAAGAGAAGAGCCAAAAAGGAGAGCACUAGAAGUAGUACUUGAUGAAAUAAUUGCUCAAUAUUUUCUGAAUUUUGUCAAACAUAUUAAACAUAUGUACUUACAAUUUCAAAAAUAUUUAACAAGCCUCAAAUAAAGUAAAGUUUUUUUUAAAAAAAAAGUAUUUCCAAGACGUUUUAUAACUGAAACUCUAAACACACACACACACACACACACAAACACGCACGCACCUUGAAAGUAGCUGGGGUGAAACAAAACAUUACCUUCUGCUUAACUCGCAAGCUGAUUACUUUCUCAUCUGAGAACAAGGAAAUCAGAAAUAACUCUGACAUUUUUCAACUGAAAGGAAGAUGAAGAGGAUAAGGAGGAGGAAGAGGAGGAGAAGAAAAGAAAGAAAUUACUUUCAAAUGUGUUCUCCAAGAAUUAGGUCAAUGCCAAAGGAGAUGGCUUGAAAUGUAAGUUGCACAGCUUUUCCAGAGGAGUCAAGUUUGGUUCUUAGCAUUCACUUCAGAUGGUUCACAACUGCCUGUAAUUCCAGCCAAGUGGUUCCAACAUCCUUUUCUGAUCCCAGUGGGUACUCACCUAGGUACAUACAUAUAUACAUAAAUCAAAACAAAAUUAACCUUUAGAGAAGGAUCCAUGGGGUGCUGAGAAGAAGGUAUAUUCUUCUACCAGGUUGAUCUCAGUCCGCGGGGAAGGCUUUGCCCUGGA